CUGCUGCCUCCCGUAGGAGUUUGGGCCGUGUCUCAGUCCCAAUGUGGCCGUCCACCCUCUCAGGCCGGCUACUGAUCGUCGCCUUGGUGGGCCUCUACCCCGCCAACAAGCUAAUCAGACGCGGGCCCAUCUUACACCACCGGAGUUUUUCACACCGGGCCAUGCGGCCCUGUGCGCUUAUGCGGUAUUAGCACCUGUUUCCAGGUGUUAUCCCCCUGUGUAAGGCAGGUUACCCACGCGUUACUCACCCGUCCGCCACUCGAA
rnacentral:rRNA from 1 species